AUUGAACGCUGGCGGCAUGCCUUACACAUGCAAGUCGAACGGUAACAGGUCUUCGGAUGCUGACGAGUGGCGAACGGGUGAGUAAUACAUCGGAACGUGCCUAGUAGUGGGGGAUAACUACUCGAAAGAGUGGCUAAUACCGCAUGAGAUCUACGGAUGAAAGCAGGGGAUCGCAAGACCUUGUGCUACUAGAGCGGCCGAUGGCAGAUUAGGUAGUUGGUGGGAUAAAAGCUUACCAAGCCGACGAUCUGUAGCUGGUCUGAGAGGACGAUCAGCCACACUGGGAGUGAGAAACGGCACAGACUCCUACGGGAGGCAGCAGUGGGGAAUUUUGGACAAUGGGCGCAAGCCUGAUCCAGCAAUGCCGCGUGCAGGAUGAAGGCCUUCGGGUUGUAAACUGCUUUUGUACGGAACGAAAAGCCCUGGGUUAAUACCCUGGGGUCAUGACGGUACCGUAAGAAUAAGCACCGGCUAACUACGUGCCAGCAGCCGCCGUAAAAC
rnacentral:rRNA from 1 species